CCGGGAUCAAUGUGGGCGGAGUCAAACGCGUUUAAACCGAACUCUUCCCGUCUCCUUCAAGUUUUUCCCAAAUUGAGGUAAACGUCAACCAAUCUUAAUCGAACUGGAUAAAAAAUAUAAACCAUGGAAGGUGAUGUAGAUGUCCCCCCCCCCCCCCCCCCCCAAGAAGUCACAUCAGCAUCCAGCUCUGCAGGAUCAGACAAUACUGAAAACAAAAUGCACUGGGGGCUGUGAACUGGGAAGCAGCUUUUCUUCUAAGGAACACCCUAGAGGCAGCAAGGUGGCGCGAACUCCGAACAUUUAAAGGCACUGUUUUCCUCCCCCCUAGUGUAAUUGGGAUGGAUGGGGAAGACUGCAUUACAACCCUUAAAGAACUAUGGUUGUAUGAUGGCCAGGAUGAAGAGGAAGCUAUUAUCCUCAAGGAACCAUUCAUGUUAGAGAGAUUAUGAGCUGUUCUAUGUGGAGGCAGUCGUCAAGAAAAUGACUGUCCUUGCCUCUUGAGGAGCAGGAGUGAAGCCAUUCUUGAGUGGUCAAACCUUGUUUUUGUCUGCUUUGUUAAUUGUGUUAUGUUGUUUAGUAAAGAUUAUGUAGAAGUCA